GAAAUAUUAUGCCCAAAUCUCCACAGCGCUCUCUCUCUCUCUCUCUCUCUCUCUCUAAGCCCUUAUCAUUCUCAGAGCGAUUUCGAGAUUCAGAGGCUCCACCGCCAUCACCAUCUGCACCGGCGAGGUAGAGAUUCAGAUCGGUCUUAGUGAUUUCAUCUCAGAGCGAUUUCGAUUUCGAUUUCGAAGCUCCACCUCCACCACCAUCUGCACCAUCGUCUACUAAGGAAUGGACCAGUUUAUUGGUAAAAUGGAAGUUCCAGGGAGCUUUAGUCCUUAUCAGCACGGGG